rnacentral:rRNA from 1 species
UAUUUUAAAGAGAGUUUGAUCCUGGCUCAGGACGAACGCUGGCGGCGUGCCUAAUACAUGCAAGUCGAACGAACGGAGGAAGAGCUUGCUCUUCCAAAGUUAGUGGCGGACGGGUGAGUAACACGUGGGCAACCUGCCUGUAAGUUGGGGAUAACUCCGGGAAACCGGGGCUAAUACCGAAUGAUAAAGUGUGGCGCAUGCCACGCUUUUGAAAGAUGGUUUCGGCUAUCGCUUACAGAUGGGCCCGCGGUGCAUUAGCUAGUUGGUAGG